AUUUAUAAGAAUAUGAUGUUGGUUCAGAUUAAGCGCUAAAUAAGGACAUGACACAUGCGAAUCAUACGUUUAUUAUUGAUAAGAUAAUAAAUAUGUGGUGUAAACGUGAGUAAUUUUAUUAGGAAUUAAUGAACUAUAGAAUAAGCUAAAUACUUAAUAUAUUAUUAUAUAAAAAUAAUUUAUAUAAUAAAAAGGAUAUAUAUAUAAUAUAUAUUUAUCUAUAGUCAAGCCAAUAAUGGUUUAGGUAGUAGGUUUAUUAAGAGUUAAACCUAGCCAACGAUCCAUAAUCGAUAAUGAAAGUUAGAACGAUCACGUUGACUCUGAAAUAUAGUCAAUAUCUAUAAGAUACAGCAGUGAGGAAUAUUGGACAAUGAUCGAAAGAUUGAUCCAGUUACUUAUUAGGAUGAUAUAUAAAAAUAUUUUAUUUUAUUUAUAAAUAUUAAAUAUUUAUAAUAAUAAUAAUAAUAAUAUAUAUAUAUAAAUUGAUUAAAAAUAAAAUCCAUAAAUAAUUAAAAUAAUGAUAUUAAUUACCAUAUAUAUUUUUAUAUGGAUAUAUAUAUUAAUAAUAAUAUUAAUUUUAUUAUUAUUAAUAAUAUAUUUUAAUAGUCCUGACUAAUAUUUGUGCCAGCAGUCGCGGUAACACAAAGAGGGCGAGCGUUAAUCAUAAUGGUUUAAAGGAUCCGUAGAAUGAAUUAUAUAUUAUAAUUUAGAGUUAAUAAAUAUAAUUAAAGAAUUAUAAUAGUAAAGAUGAAAUAAUAAUAAUAAUUAUAAGACUAAUAUAUGUGAAAAUAUUAAUUAAAUAUUAACUGACAUUGAGGGAUUAAAACUAGAGUAGCGAAACGGAUUCGAUACCCGUGUAGUUCUAGUAGUAAACUAUGAAUACAAUUAUUUAUAAUAUAUAUUAUAUAUAAAUAAUAAAUGAAAAUGAAAGUAUUCCACCUGAAGAGUACGUUAGCAAUAAUGAAACUCAAAACAAUAGACGGUUACAGACUUAAGCAGUGGAGCAUGUUAUUUAAUUCGAUAAUCCACGACUAACCUUACCAUAUUUUGAAUAUUAUAAUAAUUAUUAUAAUUAUUAUAUUACAGGCGUUACAUUGUUGUCUUUAGUUCGUGCUGCAAAGUUUUAGAUUAAGUUCAUAAACGAACAAAACUCCAUAUAUAUAAUUUUAAUUAUAUAUAAUUUUAUAUUAUUUAUUAAUAUAAAGAAAGGAAUUAAGACAAAUCAUAAUGAUCCUUAUAAUAUGGGUAAUAGACGUGCUAUAAUAAAAUGAUAAUAAAAUUAUAUAAAAUAUAUUUAAUUAUAUUUAAUUAAUAAUAUAAAACAUUUUAAUUUUUAAUAUAUUUUUUUAUUAUAUAUUAAUAUGAAUUAUAAUCUGAAAUUCGAUUAUAUGAAAAAAGAAUUGCUAGUAAUACGUAAAUUAGUAUGUUACGGUGAAUAUUCUAACUGUUUCGCACUAAUCACUCAUCACGCGUUGAAACAUAUUAUUAUCUUAUUAUUUAUAUAAUAUUUUUUAAUAAAUAUUAAUAAUUAUUAAUUUAUAUUUAUUUAUAUCAGAAAUAAUAUGAAUUAAUGCGAAGUUGAAAUACAGUUACCGUAGGGGAACCUGCGGUGGGCUUAUAAAUAUC
rnacentral:ncRNA from 1 species